rnacentral:lncRNA from 1 species
CUCAAGCCAUGCUGAAGCGGUGUCCCACAUACCACAACCCAGAGGCACUCACAACUAGAAUACACAGCUAUGUACUGAGGGGCUUUGGGGAGAAGAAGAAGGAAAAAAAAAGAAGAUUGGUAACAGAUGUUAGGUCAGGUGUCAAUCUUUAAAAAGAAAAACAUGUUGUACACCUUUUUGAAUUAUACAUAAAUGGAACCAUGUAGUAUAUACUCUUAAUUCUUGUAUGGUCCUUUAAUUUUUUUAAAAAUGUAUGCUUUAAAUAUGUGAAGUUUAUUUUAUGUAAUUAAACUUCAGUGCAUUAGUUAAUAAUUAAAAAUUUUUGGUGGUGCAUGGCUCAAAGAAGGAUUUAGAGCACAUGUAGCUGAAUCACACCUAAAGUGUUGGGAAAUAUGUCUUCUAACUUGGACGAAGGCAAAGUGUCAUAUAUGAAUAUGAGAACAGUGGAAUUAAAAUAAGUAAUUAACAUUUGAUAAACCCAUUUUUUCCAUAAGCUAAAGACUGAUCUUCACAUAUAAAAGGAGCAAACUGAACUAAAAUUGUUCAAGACAGACGAGCACUACAAUUGCACACAUUAUGUAUUCACCCAAGAUACACAGUAUAGAGACUGACAGCUGACAAUAGGCCCAUUAGUGGGUGACCAGAGCUCAGAACAACUCCCCUCAAUAUAAUCCAACUUGAUAAUAAAUGCAUUAUAUUAAGCCAUUUGCUUUUAGAAUGACAUUAUGCAGCAACAGCUGAUACAAUAACCAAAGUGAACAGAACUGAAGGAAAUUAUAAUUGUCACUUCUCAUUCUAGGCAUUUGUUCUGAUAUUUGAAGAUAUCAUUCAUGAUUACUCUGUUAUUCAAGAUUACUUCAUCUAACUCUAUUAAAAAUUGACUCCAUUGAGGUUCCUAAUAGGGAACCAAAGAAUUUGAAAUGAUGUGCGUGUUUGUGCAAAACUUGUGUGACUCUGAUUCAUAGGACUGGACAAGAAUUCAAGCUCUUUACAUCUUUGGGAUGGUGAUGGAGGUGAAACAAAUGCCUACAAAGGAGAGGUUGGAGAGGAAGAAGUACACAGGUGUUUGAAGGUGUGAUGAGAUGACCUGGAUGAGUGUAGGCAAAUGGCCCAGAUGAUGAGCAGAUUUCCAAACAGAUUGAUCAGGUAUAUGGAGAGGGAAAGCCCAAAUAUGAGGCACUGAAAUUUUGCUUUCUCUGAAAAUCCCAGAAGAAGAAAUUCUGAAACUCCUGUAAGGUUCCUUGAUUCCAUAUGUUGGAGGUGACUACCAGUACAGAGAAAAAAAUGAGUAAUUUUCACACAAGCGAGCACUGGUAACCUAGCAUAAAUGCUACCGUUUAUAUUUUAGAGUCAAGAAAUUCAUUUUAAUAUAUGUGUAUGGACUGGUCACCUUUUGGAAACACCUAGCUCGGUGGUACUAUUGUCCGCACCCAGGAUCUGAACUGGGGAAACUCUGGGCCACCAAAGUGGAGCACACAAACUUAAGGACUGGGCCAUGGGGCCAGCCUCCAAAAUGUGUACAAUAUGUUUUAACUGUUUUGUCAUGUCAUCAUUACAAAAUGUACUCACCUGAGCCUCAAUUUCCUUAUCUCUGAAAUUAAUGUGAGACCAUUUACACUAACUUCAGAUGAAUGUUGUGAAGAAUAAAUAAAAGAUGUAGAAAUACUUUGUUGAGUGCAAGUAAAACGUUCAACUUUAGGAGAAUGUGUAUGUAUAUGCAUGUAUGCAUUUGUAUACAUCCUUGUUUCAUAGAAAUACACACUUGUAUAUGUACACACACAUAAACUCAUUUAAAUCCCAUCUAUUAUGUUGAAAGAAAAGCUGCCCGGGGCGCCCACGCCGCCGCUGCGCACGGCCGGCGCCGUCUAGGCCCC